CCCAACAGGUUUGAAACAAGGAUAAUUUAAACAAGGACAUUUGGAAUUACUUGGUUGCAGCAACUGAACUGUUUCAUUGAGUUAGAAGUCUGUUACAAAAAUACCUUCUCAAGGAUACGCUCUAACUUCAGAGAGUUGGAAGGGUGUUGUUGAGUAUUUGAGCUGACCUUAAAGGUAGACUUUAGCUUAACCUUUAUCUUUGCAUGCCCCCGUCUAAAAUAUCCUCCUCUGAACUAGAAUCCACACAGAACUGGUGUAUGAAUUGUGCUGUUGCUAUGCUGCAGUGGCAAAGGAACGCAAUGCCUUCUUAUGUCCUUGUUGGAUUUUCUAAAAUGCAGAUUUAUGGAAAUUCACCUAGCAUUUGCAUCCCUCGUCCCAGCGGUUCUGUCCGCAUACAUUAUGUUAAACCACGUUAAUGAUAGAUUAUAUUUCUGCCACCGCAAAACCUAUAUUUUUUCUGUAGUCAUGUUUCCUUUCUGGAUCCUUCCCUUCAUCAGACUGGCACAACAACGUUCUCCCCUCUUCUUCAAACAGAGUGGCAAAAAGAGCCCAACUCAGCUGAUUUAAAAACUGACAAAAUAUAUAAAAAAAUAAUAAGAAUAAGAAUAUUUUUUCUUCUUUCUGCUGAACCACACAGAGAAAUUAUCAGUCUGUGUUCAGUGCAUGAAGCUGCAAAAAUCCAAUGAAUGUAUUUCACCCUUGGCAAUAUGCAUACAUCAUACGAGGCAGCAGAUAACGCACACAGAGAGACACAAUAUUGACAAUGCAGAGGGACGGGUAUUAAUCAAACAGAGAUAAGUCCAUCCAUCCAGAGGAGACGCAAUGGGAGACGGAUGCCAAGGAGAAAGCUAGGACUUCACAGUCAGUGCAGCCAGGCUGGGCUUGGUACAAGGACAAAGGGAAGGACACGCUGGGGUGACUCUGUGGAUCCUGAUGAGGAUAAAUCUGACUCCAUGAACUCUAUGGAACAGCUAGAGCAUUUGAAUAGAGUAAGGAAAAACUUGAAACUCUAAAGUAAAAUAACUGUAAUGUGUGCACAUUGUAAGGUAAACAAAUAACAAUUAUUAAUUACCAUCUAAAAUGAAAUAUGUUAUUACGUUAGCAUGUAGCAUACGGUAUGACAGCUUUAGUAGCUAUAAAAGUAUAGGUCAUAUUAUGUGAAAUCCUCAGCAGGAGAGUUUUGUACAUCAGAAGCUCGAACGAUGCUAAGGUCAGAAGGACAUUUGUGCAGAGAACUUGUGUAUAAAUAUGCUAAAUGUUUGCCAGAGGUCCAUGUUCGGGAUGUCACUGUUGGGAAGAAGCCUCUGCCAAGAGACUUUAGUUAAUUAUGUUUUCCAAAUUGAACUUCAGGGUUUCACAUCAUGAACUGCUCAGUGGGUGAGAGCAGAGCUGAGGCUACUUUAGAGGCCCACUGCUCAUAUUUUACAAAUACACCACAAAUUAUGACAAACAUGUUUCCUAUGAGGCAGUGAUACAUUGGCUCCUUGGAGUAGUAAAAGUAAUUGCUCACAGGUGAAAUUGAUUCCCCACAGUUGGUUAAAUAAUUCGAUACCAUGGCCAGGUAAGUGACUAAUGAGGAGAUAUAUCGAAAGGAACUGAACCAUAUUUCUCAUUGUUUAGGCUGUGUGUUUAUCUCAGUAUCUGCUGUAUAAUCAUCUACUAAUAAUUAUUAAGUUGCACACAUUAACUAAUGAUUCAUUCAGGGCUACUAAGCAUGUGUUAAUUACAAAAUUACUGGAAAUUAAAAUAAAGUAAUAACAAUUAGAAACAAAGUAUGAUUCUGUUAUCAUAAUAAUAUUAACACAAUGCAUUUGACAUUAUGGAACCAGAUUAGCAAGCAAAUCAAAAAUGUAUCUCUUUCUUGAUAAUAUGC
ensembl:lncRNA